UACGGAGGGUGCAAGCGUUAUCCGGAUUCACUGGGUUUAAAGGGUGCGUAGGUGGGCAGGUAAGUCCGUGGUGAAAUCUCUGAGCUUAACUCAGAAACUGCCGUGGAUACUAUUUGUCUUGAAUGUUGUGGAGGUGAGCGGAAUAUGUCAUGUAGCGGUGAAAUGCUUAGAUAUGACAUAGAACACCAAUUGCGAAGGCAGCUCACUACACAAUUAUUGACGCUGAGGCACGAAAGCGUGGGGGAUCAAAACAGG
rnacentral:rRNA from 1 species